GAUGAACGCUGGCGGCGUGCCCAAUACAUGCAAGUCGAGCGAACAGACGAGGAGCUUGCUCCUCUGACGUUAGCGGCGGACGGGUGAGUAACACGUGGAUAACCUACCUAUAAGACUGGGAUAACUUCGGGAAACCGGAGCUAAUACCGGAUAAUAUAUUGAACCGCAUGGUUCAAUAGUGAAAGACGGUUUUGCUGUCACCUAUAGAUGGAUCCGCGCCGCAUUAGCUAGUUGGUAAGGUAACGGCUUACCAAGGCAACGAUGCGUAGCCGACCUGAGAGGGUGAUCGGCCACACUGGAACUGAGACACGGUCCAGACUCCUACGGGAGGCAGCAGUAGGGAAUCUUCCGCAAUGGGCGAAAGCCUGACGGAGCAACGCCGCGUGAGUGAUGAAGGUCUUCGGAUCGUAAAACUCUGUUAUUAGGGAAGAACAAAUGUGUAAGUAACUAUGCACGUCUUGACGGUACCUAAUCAGAAAGCCACGGCUAACUACGU
rnacentral:rRNA from 1 species